UGCUCCACCAGUUCAUAUGACAGGGGUACCCCCUUCUGAUAUGAAGAAGAAGAGAGAUCAGCCAUAGGAAGUAUGGCCCUGGUGGUGCUGUGGCGGCUGCAUUGUCGCCAAUGCCGAUUUCGGCUUUAAUUCCUCUGAGUAGAGACUUUUCAGGCUGGAAAAAACAUAGAGCAAGGCCUUUUCAGACAAUAAAGAAGCCAUAUUAAGUGGAGUUUGAGAGUCUAGCAUUCCUCAUUUAAAAACUGUAACGCAGCUGCUUGCAAACAUGGAAAACUCCCAUGGAAAAAUUUUAGUGUUUGUGUUUCUUUGAACCCAUAAUUGUAUUUCUUAUAAUUUGCAAUU